UUUCUUUUCAUAAUUUCAAAUCUCAAUUUGUUCAUCGAGCACAUGUUCUGUUGUGCACAUGGAUGUCAAAGCAUUUUCAACAGUGUAAUUUCCCACAUGGCUUGGUCAGCCAAAGCAAAAUCAAGAAAUUGACAAUUAAAAGUUACCUUGAGCCAUGCUGACAAUAGUAAACUGACAGUUUCAUGACCUACUAUGUAUCGUAAAAAUUAAAACAAUAAAAAAUAGUUCAUACUAUUGCAUCAAAAUGUGUUUUAUUGACAAAUUUUAUCAAUAAAAUCUAGUUUAUAUACAAUAAUUCGAAAACAGUAGGCCGUAGAAUUUUGACGUCUAAGAAACAGUUGUUUAUUUAGUCAAAAUGAACAACUUUCUCGAAGACAUAAACUCUCUAAUGUGUAACAGUAAAAAGUUACACGCUGGCACUACUUAUAUUUAUGGUGAUACUAAAAAGCUAUUAUUUCAAAAACACCAAAAAAUACCUCUCCAAAUUUUUGAUAGUAUGUUCACCUAGUAUUGCUUCGUAUUUGCUGAAAAUUUUAAGUUGCGAUUUUUUGCGCUUUGUGAGAUAUUAAGGCUUGAAAUUCCCACUAUUUUUUCCAAUUUGUAUUUUAAUUUCAAAUUUUUAAUGAUAAUAUUGAAUAUAUUUCCAAAGAAUGUGUUUGGUUUGACAUAUUUGCAUUGGGAAAAAAAAUUAAACUCACAUGGUUUCUAGUAAAAAUGUCAAAAUAAGCUUAAAAAACUGGUUUUUCAUUGAAUGUAUUUUAUUUUUAAAAUAACUCGAAAACAGUAGGCUGUGGAAUUUUGACGUCUGAGAAAGAGUUGUUUAUUUUGCCAAAAUGAACAACUUUGCCGAAGACGCCAAGUCUCUAGGACGUAAAACAAAGAAGUUAGAUGGUGGCGCCACCUAUGCGGACGAUUUGCGAACUACUACGUUCUUAGCAAUAGAUGCCCCUGCUGAUGUCAAGCAACUUUGUCGAAGAUACCAUGUGCCGGAAAUGCUUCGUUUUGGAGUAAUUAAUUUUGUUCCGCUAGAUUGCGAUUCUGGCCCUUAGUGAGUUGGCCAGCUGUCAAAAGGUGAUUUCGAAAAAUAUCUUCGAAAGCGAUUUUAGGUACCAAAAUGAAGUUCCAAAAAUCUGAAAAAAAUCAUGGUGGUUCAGAAAAAGGUGCUCUUUCGUAUAAAAUCAAAAAAUCAAUACAUUUUUCUUAAUUUAAAAACCCAAUUAGGGUGCCUGUACCAAUUAUGGCACUACCUAAGGAAAACUAUUUGUACAAAAAUAACGAGAAGACCAACGAAUGUCACCAAUAUGUUAAAAGAUAGUUUAGUUUCCAUACUUUACAGGAAAAAUAUAAAAACGGAGCCAAAACUACUUUAAGUAUUUAUUACGGCGUGUGCCAAUGAUAGGAACCCUGUCCCAGUUAUAGCUACAUUUUUUAACUUCGGUUCUUUUUCGCACUAUUUGCAUGCAUUUCUUAUGGGAUUAGCCAUAAUUGGUACACUAUGGCGAAAAAGGGUGCAAGGAAGCCGAAAUUUUAAAGAAAAUGAUUUAUUUCUACCAUAAUUUGAGCAAAACGUGGACUUUAAAUGAAUGCAACCAUCUUUUGUGAACGUGAUCUGUUGUUCACAUUUUUUUUAUUGUUGAUAUAUAUCGUUAAAGGGUGAAAAUCAACUAUGGCGAAUAAAUGGUACUAUAGCCAUAAUUGGUACACUUACCCUAUACUAUAAAAUGUCAUCUAAAAAAAUUAAAAAGUGAGUAGCACUUACUCACUUUUGCUUUUAUUGAAGUUUAAGAAAGUGAGUUGAAAACUACACUAAUUUUGGGAAAUCUUACAGUUACUCAAAAGUGAGUAACUUCAAUUUACUCUAAAAUGAGCUGAUGCACUUUGUACCAAAGUGACUCACUUUAGAGUAGUUUUCAAUGAGCGUGACCGAACCGAUUGCUUCAUAAUUGUUACCUACACUCUAAAAAGUAUUCACGUCCAAGUUACGUGAAAAAUCACGUACUUACUGGUUAUGCUUCUUCCGGUCUGUUUCACAUGAUUCCGGUGAUUCUUACAUGAGAUCAGUUCAGUUUCACCUUCAGUUCAGGUCACAAUGACGUGAUUUUCCUGUCUGAAAAAAAUAUGAGUGAAGUUUCAUACUGAGUGACCAACAUGGCGGCAGUGGACGAGGCAGUGGAUUGGCAGCUGUUGUUAUCUGAAAACUGUUGUUUUAUGGAAAUCCGAUAAACUUUCAUAUUCAUCGCGAGAACAACGGCAACACAGCUACAGUUUACGAGCCAGCAACAAUGGUCUACUUCUUAGUGCAAUGCAGAUGAUUGAUUGUUUUUGUAUAAAUUUAACUUUAAUUUGAAAUAAAUUAGUGGAAAUGAA